rnacentral:rRNA from 1 species
UACGUAGGGUGCAAGCGUUAAUCGGAAUUACUGGGCGUAAAGCGUGCGCAGGCGGUGAUGUAAGACAGGUGUGAAAUCCCCGGGCUUAACCUGGGAACUGCAUUGUGACUGCAUCGCUGGAGUGCGGCAGAGGGGGAUGGAAUUCCGCGUGUAGCAGUGAAAUGCGUAGAUAUGCGGAGGAACACCGAUGGCGAAGGCAGCCCCCUGGGUCAAGAUUGACGCUCAUGCACGAAAGCGUGGGGAGCAAACAGG